CCUACCCUGGAGUGAGGAAUACCGGCGAGAAAUCGCCGACAAGACCGCAUCGGGUCGUCUUCUUGAGAGAGAGGGCGAGCAAAGCCUUUUCGGAGGCGCUACAGGAUGGGCCUGCGGCCGAUUAGCUGGUUGGUGAGGUAAGAGCUCACCAAGGCUGCGAUCGGUAGCUGGUCUGAGAGGACGAGCAGCCACACUGGGAUUGAGAACGGCCCAG
rnacentral:rRNA from 1 species